rnacentral:rRNA from 1 species
AUCCAACCUUCCCGCGACUGGGGGAUAACCUUGCGAAAGUAAGACUAAUACCCCAUGGUUUCCGAGGCGGACAUCCAAUUUGGAAUAAAGAUUUAUCGGUUGUGGAUGGGGAUGCGUCUGAUUAGCUUGUUGGCGGGGUAACGGCCCACCAAGGCGACGAUCAGUAGGGGUUCUGAGAGGAAGGUCCCCCACAUUGGAACUGAGACACGGUCCAAACUCCUACGGGAGGCAGCAGUGAGGAAUAUUGGUCAAUGGACGAGAGUCUGAACCAGCCAAGUAGCGUGCAGGAUGGCGGCCCUAUGGGUUGUAAACUGCUUUUAUACGGGAAUAAAGUCAACCACGUGUGGUUGUUUGUAUGUACCGUAUGAAUAAGGACCGGCUAAUUCCGUGCCAGCAGCCGCGGUAAUACGGAAGGUCCGGGCGUUAUCCGGAUUUAUUGGGUUUAAAGGGAGCGUAGGCCGCCGAUUAAGCGUGUUGUGAAAUGCCGCAGCUCAACUGUGGCACUGCAGCGCGAACUGGUUGGCUUGAGUGCGCGGAAGGCAGGCGGAAUUUGUGGUGUAGCGGUGAAAUGCUUAGAUAUCACGAAGAACCCCGAUUGCGAAGGCAGCCUGCCGCAGCGUAACUGACGCUGAAGCUCGAAAGUGCGGGUAUCGAACAGGAUUAGAUACCCUGGUAGUCCGCACGGUAAACGAUGGAUGCCCGCUG